rnacentral:rRNA from 1 species
CGUAGGCGGGCCAUCAAGUCCGGGGUGAAAUCCUUCGGCUUAACCCGGAGAAUUGCCUUGGAUACUGGUGGUCUUGAGGGAAGUAGGGGUCUGCGGAACUUCCGGUGGAGCGGUGAAAUGUGUUGAUAUCGGAAGGAACGCCGGUGGCGAAAGCGGCGGACUGGGCUUCUUCUGACGCUGAGGCGCGAAAGCUAGGGGAGCAAACG